rnacentral:tRNA from 1 species
GCCGAAGUGGUGGAAUUGGUAGACACGUGCGUUUCAGGGGCGCAUGGCCGCAAGGCCGUGGGGGUUCGAGUCCCCCCUUCGGCA